AAUAAAAUAAGUUUUACAUUUGAUUUAUUAUUCAAAGCAGAAAAUGGAUAAGCUUUUUAAAGUUGAACUCUUCCACAUUUUGUUUAAAAAGAUUGAGUGUGGCUGUCUACUUAUUUUAUAAAGUUUUAUUUGUCAUGGUAAGGUCAUAGACUUAUCAACUACAUGUAUUAUUUUGACAAUAAUUUUAUUUUUAACAUCCUUUUCUCUUACUUAUUUAACUUUCUAUAAAUAGAUAUUUUUAUUUCUACACCAAAAACAUUUCAUAUAUUUUUGUCAUAAUGAUAAAGAUUACAAUAUUUAUGAUGAAAAGUAAACAAUAAUCAUACAACAAAUUUCAUUAUACUUCUAGAAAAAUAAAAUCUUACAUGUAUAUGUAUUUCAUAUAAGAAAUAUUUAUCAUGUAGAUUGAUAAACAUUUAUACUCAAAACAUUUUUUGGUACAUAUUUCCAUGUCAUACUGAGUAAAAUGUGAGGAAAGUACUGAAUGCAAAAGUCAACUUGCUUAAAAGUAUUGCAUGUAGUUGCAUGUAUUUACUACGUACAGUUUUACAGAAAUAAUUUUUUCCUCAGGGCCAAAGGACUUGAGGUCUCUGUACAUGUCAUUUAUCUACAAUUUACCUUAUGUAUAAGCUGUGUCCAUUUUCAUGUUAUAUUGAUAUUAGUUACUCUACUGCCUGUGCAUAUUUUGACUUUCAUGAUCUGUGAUUUUUAUUCAUGAUAUUUUGGAAGAAUAAAAAACAUUCAGUUAU
rnacentral:sRNA from 1 species